UCAGAGGCGCACGAUUCAUCAGUAACCGCUUUUUUACGGGCAAACGGGGGCGGUGAAAGGGGAGAGUGCCGAGACGCGGUUUUUUGCCCGGGGAGCCGUUUGUCGGGGUAAUGCAGAAUAUGUAUUACACUGUCACUUUUUUAGUGGAGAGCUAUUG
rnacentral:ncRNA from 1 species